AGCUUCGCAUAGUGGCAGUAUCUAUCAUAGCCAAUGAGGUUUAUCCGAGGUGUGAUUAUUGCUAAUUGAAAACUUUUCCCAAUACCCUGCCAUGAUGACUUGCAAUAUAGUCGGCACUGGUAAUUUAUGACAGUCUCUACGGGA